UACCGAAUCUUCAAUGAUAUCGACUUCAUAAUGAAACAAUGAUAAUGGCAUAUAUAGCUACCAAAUAUUUGUUCGACGCUUACAUUAAAUUGUUCUUAAUACUAUUCAUUGCAUGACAAUGCAUCGUUUGGUAUUAGCGUUUUAAAGAGAUGAAGGAUCUCAACGUCUCUUGAUGUUGACUUUGCCAAUGUUCUUGUACUUUGACGCAAAAAACUGAUGGUUGGCACACAUAUACAUGUACACAAAGAUCCCUCCUAAGCUACGUCAAACAUAUAUGGUGUCCAGGUCUCUGUCAACAAAACUACGUCAUUUCCCAAUGAAUACGACAACGUUCAUUCAGGCCUAUGAUUUUGUCUGAAAGCCGAUUGUUGAGGGACGAGGAUCGAGCAUAAAAAGUUAAAGGUGAGAAUGAAAAUUGAAGGUGGAGUAAAGGUCAAUGGUAAAAAAAAAUGAAGAUUAACUUUACAUUGAUACUGAGGUGAUACGGUUUAUUUCAUGCAAUUUCUUCAUUCUUCUUUUGUACAUGUGUCUUAAUCAACUAUGUUGUUUGUUUAUGUCUUGCAUGUAUAUCUAACUCAAACCCUUGG